rnacentral:rRNA from 1 species
AUACGUAGGUGGCAAGCGUUGUCCGGAUUUACUGGGUGUAAAGGGCGUGCAGCCGGGGAAGCAAGUCAGGUGUGAAAUGCAGAGGCUUAACCUCUGAAUUGCAUUUGAAACUGUUUUUCUUGAGUACUGGAGGGGCAAUCGGAAUUCCUAGUGUAGCGGUGAAAUGCGUAGAUAUUAGGAGGAACACCAGUGGCGAAGGCGGAUUGCUGGACAGCAACUGACGGUGAGGCGCGAAAGUGUGGGGAGCAAACAGGAUUAGAUACCCUGGUAGUCCACACUGUAAACGAUGAAUACUAGGUGUGGGGGGACUGACCCCUUCCGUGCCGCAGUUAACACAAUAAGUAAUCCACCUGGGGAGUACGGCCGCAAGGUUGAAACUCAAAUGAAUUGACGGGG